GCACACUGCCAAUCCAGUCCGGUUAGCCAGCAACACGGCCUGCAAGCCAACAGCCCCCAACCCAAUGAAACAAUGGUCGGGGAGGGGUGUAUACAUACACAGACACACAUACAGAGGGGAGUGAAUAUUAAAGUUGGGGGGGUGGGGGUGGGGAGAGAAAAUAAACAGCAACUAUGCUUCACCAAGGCCGAGGGUCAUUUUGAGACUGAAACCGUCCUUUUAUUUGCAAGGAAUUAGCUGCACUUCAAAGGAGCUUCUGAGGUUGGGCUAGCGGCAAAAGUUCCUCCGUAAUUCCUCAAAGUCAAAUCUUGAAAAUGAAGGAAGAGAAACUUCUAAAAGCAUUGCUAGCUCCUUCAAUAUCGAUCAUCGUGAUGGGAGUCCAAAUCUGAUUGUCAAAUCUUGGCAAAUGAGAAUACAGUCCCAUCAGCAUUGAAGGCAAGGAAGCUGCUUUCUCAACAGCCUUUCGGAGACGGACAUAGCUGACGUUGGAGAACUGGCAUGUGAGAAGACUCAUUCAACUCCAGUGACUGUGAAUCAAUUUUAAUGCAGAAAUAAUGUGUCAAACAAUAAA